rnacentral:rRNA from 6 species
GAACCAGCGGAGGGAUCAUU